GAGCUGUUGAGGAGUCCUACAACAGGACGAAACGGCCGUUCAGUGU
rfam:Schistosoma mansoni strain Puerto Rico chromosome W, complete genome